rfam:Cavia porcellus supercont2_0 genomic scaffold, whole genome shotgun sequence.
GGGGAUUUAGCUCACCGGCAUAAGCACCUGCCUUGUAAGCAGGCGGUUGUGAGUUCGAUCCCCCCCACCCCCA